UUCCACUAGUAUUCUAUUGUAUUUUCGCUCAGUGUAUUUCCAGUGACUCCUGCGAUUUAGCACUUCCACCUUUCCUUCCCGUUUCGAAUAACUGUAAAGUGUGUCGCUUCUGUUGUUAGCACCUUCUACCUCUUCCCCCUCUUAUCCUUCUCCUACUCCGCCUCCGCCUCCUUCCCGCUCUUCUUCUUCCACGCACGUCACGCUGGUAUAAAAAAAAGAAGAAUUUCCAGCCAUGUGCUUGCGAUUAAGAAACUUUAUUCGCUUCAUUGUUGUUGGCAAAUGAUAAGUGCCCCCUUGCGGGUGUGUGGGUUCGUGUCGUCGUCUAUGUGUGUUUUGUUCUAAUACAUUACAUAAUCGCCAAAUGAAAUUCGCCCAUUGCUUUUUUGGCAACAUCGAAAUGUCGCUAAAAAUAAAACUCUGUUUUUUCGGGUUUAACGAACUCUUCUCUUUGGCCCGCCCAAUUUCUUUGGGUUCUUUCAUUUUAUUUGGGAAAUUUCCACAAGUCCGGCUUACAUUUUUUUUUUGGCCUUACCUUACCUUAUUCUUGUAAAUUUACAACAACAAAAACAACUGCCACGGCGCAGAGCGCAAUUAAGGAAAAGAGAGUAAGAGAGUGUGUCGAGAGAGAAGAGAAAAAUACAGAGACUCUUUUCCCCCUCUCUUUUGUUCCGUUUUCCCAUGCGUGUCACUUUAUUGUUGUUGUUGCCAAAAAAGAAAGACAAAAAAAAUACCAUCUCGUUCUUGCAAAAGAGAAGUGUCCGCCGAAUGACCUUAAAGGAGAAGGAGGAGCAGCCCGCCCACUCACCAAACACCACCCACCACCCACCGCCCACCGGCAACGAUGCACAUUGCAUGUAUGUGGAUUGCAUAAUGUUAAACAACAAAAAAAUCGAAAAGUUAAAAUCUGCGAUUUGAUAAUUGAAAAAUCAAUAUCACACGCACACAGUCGGCUGGCACACAUACACACGAAAAAAGGGCUCGCAGGACGAGCCUCCUUUUGAUUUUUUUCGGGGGUGUUUUUCUUUGACCUGCGUUGGGUAAUAUUUAUACCGGAAAAAAUUAAGGUCAUCCUAAGACGUGUGAAAAAAAAUUGAAAAUACAUCUAUGGUAUAACAAGUCUAGCAUAAAAAAUUCUAGGUCAGAUUGGCAUUAAAAUAAUUCGACUUUCAUAAAUUAGAUUGAAAAGGAUCGAUUUUUUUUAUAAAAAAAAAUAAAACUUAUUUCUCACCGUGUAGAUUGGCCAAAUGUUAUGCACAUUCCCUGGUUCUCGUUCUUCUUGUUCUGCCGACGCUGGCAGAGUGCCAAAAAAACGCUUUGACGUCGGCAGAGGCGAUUUAUUUAACUUUUGUUUUUGCCAUUUACUUGUUUUGUCUAUAAAUAAUGGCUGUAAAUGUUAAGCCACAUAAGGCUUUUGACUAAAAAGCUUAAUUUGUUUUCUGUCUACUUUCCAUUUAAUAUUCAAGCAGGUUUUUUUUUUAUUUUAGGCAACAAAUUAUAAAAGGUCCCCCUUUUUUGCUCAGUGUUUUGGCCAAAAACAAAAUAAUAAACGGUUGUUUUAUUUGCGUUUGACGUAGCUUGUCGAAAUGGCAACACGCGAAAUGUUUUAUCGCCUCUUCGCUAAUACGUCACAAAUCGUGACGAUUCUUACGUAACGCCCACGGCCCUUUUUCCCCAAAACAAACUAAGAGAGAGAGAGUAAAGAAAGUAGAGAGAGUGUAGAGAUAGAGAGGGCAAAAAACAGAAGAAAAAGCGAAAAAGUAAACAGAUGAUCAGCGAUUGCAUAAGAGCAAAUGCAUAAUUUAUACUCUGUAUAUGUACACAUCAUUUGUAUAUUAAGUUUUACGGUCGCAGUGGAUUUUUUUUUGAUUAGGGAAUCUAAAUCGGGACUUUAUGACCAGUGGGCAAAGCUCAAGUGGACCUUUUCCACCUGGAUGGAUGGAUUACCAAUCCAGAAUUCUGGUUAUGCGCGAGAUAACGCCGCCCAACGGGCGUCAUGGAAAGUUUGAGGUCUCGAGAUAUAUACGAGAUAAAGGGGGCCCCAAAUCUUCGCAUCGAUGGGGGCGUAUUAUGUGAGGUAUUUCGCCAGAAGAGUUCCAUAUAUAAAUAGAUAAAACUUUAUAGAGAAAGUAUUCAAGCUUUAUCGUCGGUACAAUAAAUAAUUAAUAGAACUAUCAUAUAUUACCAUUUCUUAUCAAUAAACCUAUGCUUUUGGUUAUCAGAACAGGGUUUUUCUCACCAAUAAAAGCUUUAUUAGGCAGACGUUGAUAGUAUGUGAAAUGUUCAUACUUACUUUUUAUAUGCUAAGUUAAAUAAUCAACGGAUUGCAAUAAACCUAUUGAUUUUACAAUAAUAUGUUUUAAUCUAAGGGUUAUGCAAUGCAAGUGGCUCAAUAACAGUGUCACCUUGGCGGGACAAUGCAUUGUUUAACUGCAUUUAAAUACCUCGUAAACAUAUUAAUCUUAUUAAUAUUUGCAAACAAUGAUGCUAAGUACUGUCCCCAAUUGAGGAAAUAUCAGCAUAACUGAUAAUUGUACUCUCUGGUACACCUAUCCGAAAAAGCCCCGCCCUGUCUCUGUAAAAGCCCCCUUUUAUGACCCCCCUCCAUUUCGGCCUGAUAAGCGUGACAAAUUUGCUGCUGGGCACAUGAUCGGUAGACGUAGCCAUAUCGCUGAUAAAGCGGACACGCAAAGCCCCCCAACCAACUGGGAAAAUAAGGUGUUAACUCAAUCAGUUUUUUAUUUUUAUUUGUGUUUAUAUUUAGGCGAUUUCGCAAUGCGCAAAUGAGCAGGAUUCAACAUGCAAAUUUGUUGUCAGGUAACAAAUAAACAACGGUUUCAAGGCGGUUUUAAAGAUACUAAUGUAUCUAAAUGAUUGAUGGACUGGGCAGAAGUCGAAACAAGGCUAUAUGUUUGAAAUAAGAACUUUUUCCUAUUUCCGAUCCGUGAUAUUAAAUGCCAUAAUCACCAUCUAUUUUCAUUGUUCGUAGUCAAUUUCUUUAAAUAUACUGAAAAAGCGAGUAGCCCAUUUCGCUUAUCAGUUUUUCAAGCUUUUUCCCUUUCAUUUCUUGAAUACACUGAGAUUACAAAAAAUUAUGUGAAAACUUUUCAAGAACCGGAAUUUAGCCAAAGUAAUAUGUAAAUUAGUCUCUGCUUACGACGCAUGCCUACUUUUCUCGCAAAAGCCCCAUUAUGAUCUUUGCUUAGUCAGAAUUUUUACAGCUUUUAAAUGACUGACUGAAGGGAAAACAUACGACCCGGCAACAACAGACGUCUGAAGUUUGUUCAACUGAUCCGAUCCAAACCGAACCGAUUUUAGUUAAGUUGAGUUGAGUUAAGUUGAGUGGCGGGAUUACGUCAGGCGGUACUUUCAAUGCGAUGCGAUUGUGUGAUGUCUGUUUACUUUCGGAGACACAAUAAAAACUAUAGAGAAUGGCAAACGUAAUUAAGACGAUUAACUCGGACUGCAAUUAUUAGACGACUGACAAGCGGUCUCUAAUAGCAGAAAUCAUCAAACCGAAUUGAAAACGUCACGCGAGGCAAGGAGAACCCAAGGUUCUAAAAUCCAAAGCCCGCAACCCCUUUGAAAAACCCCCAUUACCAUCCCGAUCCUCAACCCAUUACAGUGAGAUCAAACAGUUUUCGUGAUGAUCAUUCAAAUGCAAUGGAACUACAGUGAUCGUUCGGAAAUGGGCUUUCUAGUUGCAUGGAGUUAAUUGCGAAUUUAUAUGGUUCAUAUGCCUUAUACAAUAGGAAAAUUACACUAAUUAACUUAUUCAAUUGGGUUCGGUGUUCUAUAAAUUAUUAGGAAAUUAAAAAGAAACGUACUAUAAUACCAUACCAUGAAGCAUCACUGUAGUCUGGGUGCGAGAACACUUGAUUCCAGCUCCAUCGAUACGGGGUCAUCUGCGGCUCACCUCGAUGACAACUCUGCUCUGUACUCGUGGCUCGAGGCUCGAGGCUUUCCCGGCAUUUUCAAGGUUUUCCGUUUUUGCACCUUAAUGAAGUAUACUAACAUAUAUUUCUGUAUAUUGCAUAAUUACUGGAUCGUUCGAUCGUUUUGGGGCGGCGAAAGGAAGUCUGCUGGCGCCGUCAAAACACGCGACUCCGAUUUCGAAUCGCUUCCUUGAUGACAACGCAACCUACGACUAAGACUAAGACUAAGACUAAAACUAAGACUACGACUGCGACUGCGACUACGACUAGUUAGACAUGCGAUAAUUGCCGGCGCGUGAGACCUUGAAUUUCAUUUGGUUUACUUGCCGUUCGGCUUAUCAGCAGAUGAACGCGCGCCUCUGCGCCAGAUAAUGACCCCUCAAAUUGUAUACAAAUGUAUUCUCGACCAACUUGAGGCCCGUUUCAAGUACCCCCCUCAAAAAAAAAAUAAAAUAAUGAAG